AAAAAGGCCUCUUUCGAGGCCUUUCAUAAAAUUAGAAUAAACUUG
rfam:Bacteriovorax sp. Seq25_V contig_54, whole genome shotgun sequence.